AUUACCACAAAUUUGUUGUCUUAAAGCAAAUUCAUUACAUUACAGUUCUCUAUCUCCAAGUUUGACGCAGAUCUCCCUUGGCUAACAUCAAGGUGUGGACACAACUUCAUGCCCUUCUAAAAGAGUCAGAGAUGGUAAUUUGAUGUCUUUUCACAUGUAUCUGUGUGAUCUACCCUUCUGUCUUCAUUCUCCAUCAUUAAGGAUCACAUAAUUAAAAAUGGGUCACCUGAAUAAUCCAGGAGAACUAUAUUCAGGUCUUUAACUUUAUCAUAUCUCCACAGUCUCUUUUGUCAUGAAGAGUGCAGUCUUCUUGAACAUUUAAAGUGAUUCUGAUUGAACUACAGGAUUGAUUUUGCAAGUAGGACAAGACAGCUCAUUGGAGGAGCCAUCUGAAAGAGAACACACUGAAAUUAAGCAAAGAAAAUUGCCUGGUGAUCCAUUUGGUUUGGCAGGUUGUGAUUGGUGUCUUCACAGAAGAUCUUCAGUCACAUACUGAGAACUCUAAUUAAGAGAGUUAUCUCCAUUUGUGCUGGCUUGAGGGGGUACUUCAAUCAAGUAGAACCUGUUGAAGUGUGAAUAGGAAGAGCAGGGGAAGUCAGAGUGUCAUCGGGAGAAGUGAGUUGGCUGUCGACCAAGAGACAUCACAAGUCAGCUUUACUCUGGCAAAAUGUCCUCAACCCAGUAUGGAGACUUGAGGCAGAAAUCAGCUUUUUGCCUAUACACUGGACCUGAAUCUGUGUAUCAGAGGUAGACUGACUUAACCAGGGCUCUUAGAGGCUGAUAUCAAAGUUCAAAUUAUUUUGCAAUAAGAAGUACUACAUACUUCUGUCCUGAUUAAUAUACUUGCAUUCUUGAGAUGGAUUUGCAUUAGAAGCUGAAAUAUUUUUCAAGAAUUGCUUGGUAGACAUGAAAUCUGAAAUAAGGAGGUUUUUAAUGAUAAUAGCUUCUGAUAAUCUGACACAUCUAUCUCUUCAGUAGAAUAUUCUGUCUCUAGGACCAAAGAGAUCAUACAUCUCAUUACACUACAUGAAUAAUGCUAAAAUUAUUUUCUCUUCUGACUCUCUCUCUCUCUCUCCUUUUUUUUUUUUUUUUUUUUUUUUUAUCAUUGACCAGUCCUUUGGACUGACACAUUUCAGACAGUAUCUGUUGUUGAUAUUAAGAUUGCACUAUCUUCCCGGAAACUUGGAGACCCACUAGGCAAUCCUAUAAAAAAAAUUAAAAAUUAGGCAAAUUCGACACCAUAGAACGUAUUAGCAAUCUGUGUCAUAACCAAGAGCUUAUGUAUCACUGUAUGCUAAUUAAUUCAGGAAGGGUCAAAUUCCAGUUAUGACAUUCAGGCAGUAGACUCAUGGAAACUCAUUCAGCUAAAAUCUAAUUAAUUAAUUUUUUCCUUUUUUCACUUUUACUUUUGAUGGAUUUUAAGUUCACAGAAUGGAAUUAAUCUUAUUUACAUUCAUCCUUAUUUUAUGCAAGCCCAUAUCUGUCUCUGUUUAUCAAUCAUCUAUCUAUUAAUUCUUUAUAGUUAAAAAAGUAACAUAUAUCUGAAUAUUAGAACAAUUAAAAUAAAUUAGAA